rnacentral:tRNA from 1 species
GGGGAUUUAGCUCAGUGGUAGAGUGCUUGCCUAGCAAGCGCAAGGCCCUGGGUUCGGUCCUCAGGUCCAGGGAAAAAAAAAGAAAAAAAAAAAUGAGGAAUGAGAGGUUGAAAUCCUCUCCUCUCCA